UGUGAUUGUGGGAAAGAUUUCAUCGGCGUGGGAUGGGGUCGCGUCCUAUCAGCUUGUUGGUGAGGUAACGGCUCACCAAGGCUUCGACGGGUAGCCGGCCUGAGAGGGCGACCGGCCACAUUGGGACUGAGAUACGGCCCAGACUCCUACGGGAGGCAGCAGUGGGGAAUAUUGCACAAUGGGCGCAAGCCUGAUGCAGCGACGCCGCGUGAGGGAUGGAGGCCUUCGGGUUGUAAACCUCUUUUGUUUGGGAGCAAGCCUUCGGGUGAGUGUACCUUUCGAAUAAGCGCCGGCUAACUACGUGCCAGCAGCCGCGGUAAUACGUAGGGCGCAAGCGUUAUCCGGAUUUAUUGGGCGUAAAGGGCUCGUAGGCGGCUCGUCGCGUCCGGUGUGAAAGUCCAUCGCUUAACGGUGGAUCUGCGCCGGGUACGGGCGGGCUGGAGUGCGGUAGGGGAGACUGGAAUUCCCGGUGUAACGGUGGAAUGUGUAGAUAUCGGGAAGAACACCGAUGGCGAAGGCAGGUCUCUGGGCCGUCACUGACGCUGAGGAGCGAAAGCGUGGGGAGCGAACAGGAUUAGAUACCCUGGUAGUCCACGCCGUAAACGGUGGACGCUGGAUGUGGGGCACGUUCCACGUGUUCCGUGUCGGAGCUAACGCGUUAAGCGUCCCGCCUGGGGGAGUACGGCCGCAAGGCUAAAACUCAAAGAAAUUGACGGGGGCCCGCACAAGCGGCGGAGCAUGCGGAUUAAUUCGAUGCAACGCGAAGAACCUUACCUGGGCUUGACAUGUUCCCGACGACG
rnacentral:rRNA from 1 species